rnacentral:lncRNA from 1 species
UCAGGCUAGGUCCAGAUCCGGCGCGUCCUUAGUCGGGUCGGGGGUGGCAUGGAAUCCGGUCGUUGUGCAGGUGGUGUGCAUAGUGCAGAUAUCUUCGGUGUGCAGGUGAUAUUUGGUGGCUUCCGCUGUGGAUGCUAUGAUUGAGGGGGACUCCGAGGUGAAAGCCUUGCUCUAGCAACGGCGACGCCCUCGGGCGCCGUUCACCUUGUUGAAGGCGUUGCUAUUGGAGCCCUCGUUCAACGCCACUUCAAGGGGAUUCUCCGGGUGAAAACCUUAGACUCGUUAGGAUCGGACGAUAUCGUUGUUCUGUCGGUGUACACUACUACAAAGAUGGUUUUUGCAUACGGGCGAGAAGGGUUUUCACAUGCGGUUGCGCCAACCGCAUGCGCCAAAUUGUCUGCGAAGAUCGCGAUUUUUGCAUGCGGCCCGUAUCGAAGAUUAAAUUUUUCAAAUUUUAUUUUCGCAUACGGCUCCUUAAGACGCCCGCAUGGAAAAAUCGGGCGCUUAAGUGAGCCGCAUGUAAAAAUGAGGUCAUCUUUACAUGUGGACCUCUUAAGAGGCCCGUAUGGGAAAAUCGAUUUUUCCAUACGGGCGUCUUAAGGAGCCAUCUGCGAAAAUGCCGCUCGAUCUUUGUAGACGCCACUAGUUAUGGUCCGUUUGCAAAAAUUAAGGGGUCCCGUACAGAAAAAUCACUUUUGUAGCAGUGGUAACCUUCUUGAAGACUUCAUUUUAGAAGCUUUCUCCCUUGUUGGGUGUAACGCUCCGCUUUUCGUGAGACGUUAAAAACUAAUUCGGCAAAAAUCCUAAUUGCGAAAAUUUCGUUCCUUGAGUGUUGAGUCUGAGUUGUGCCAAAGAUCUCAAUUUAAAUCCCUCCCUUGUCUCGAUACCCUGUUAUCAAAGAUCGUCUCCUCAAAAUUACCAUCCCAAUGUAGUCCCGAAGCUCGAUUCCUUCUAUUCGGAAUCCCCUCCUGGAACCCCAUCCGUGAACUUUGUCGAAUGUCCGAACCCUUCUAUUCAGACUUCUCUCCAAAAUCCUUACCCACAUAUCUCGUUGAAUAGUCAAACUCAAACUCCCAAGUUACACUCUCUUUCUCUAAAUUAUCCAUCCCCUUUUGACUCGUCUCCGAAUAUUGUUCCCUUCCUUGACUCCUUCCUAUUCUCCCGAGACCGAGUAUCAACCUCGAAAUUCGAAUCUAGACUCCAACUCUAAAAUCUCCCAAUUAAAUCUCUCUGUGAAAGUCUAUUUAACCUCCCUCAUAGGUUGGAUUCCUUCUUUCUUUUUCCGAUCCACCUCUUCCUUCUCUUCCAUCCCAUCUCUCUCGGAGUCUCGAUCUAUCUAUCUAUCGAUCGAUCCAUCUAUCUAUCUACUAUACCUAUCUAUCUGUUUAUCUAUCCAUCUGUCAAUCCAUCUGUCUAUCCGUCCCUCUACCUAUCAACCUACCUUUCUGUCUAUCUAUCUAUCCAUGGCAUUCUACCGCUAUCUCCCUUGUUCCAUUUUUGAAUAAUGAUCUUCCCUUUUUGAAAUCCUCUGAAAUAAUCCUUCGUGCCGCCAAAUAUAAAUCCAUCCCAAGAAUACCAAAAUUCCCGCUUUUGAAGCCCUUCCUUGACCCCUCCCUUGGAUCCACCUUGAACCCUCGUGUACAAAUACACAAAUUAAAUUCAAAUUCAAUCUCCACAUCAAACUUCUCUCCAAAUCAAACCUUCCAGUAAAAGUCUAUUUUGCCUCCCUCCAACUCGCUCGGGCCGAAACCAUCCUCGGCCCAUCCUCUUCUUUCGCCAGCCUCUCCAUCGCACGUGCGCCGCACGUGACUCCCUCAGAGAGCGCCCCCUCUCUCUCUCUCUCUCUCUCUCUCUCUCUCUCUCGGCGUCGCUUCCCGCCGACGCCGCCCAAAAUUCCGGCUGCCUCCUUCGAUUCCCGCGCACCCGUGCGAGUGGCCGACCACCUGGGUGCCGCCAUCGCCACCCUCGGUCGUCGCCUGCCCCGACGACCACCGUGUCCGCGCUUGCCUUCAAACCGUCCCCGUCCUUUUGCAGUCGUCGCCGGCGUCAUCCUCCCGGGCCCGGCGCCCCAUGCCGCAUGCAUCCAAAACCGUGAGGCGCGGCUCGCUCUCAUCCCUUUCCUCCCAAACCGGAAGGAGCAAAGCUCCCUUUCCUCCUCCUCCUCCUUUCGCUUUUUCCCCUCCCGGGUAGCGAGCUCCCUGCCUCCACUCCUUGGCUUCUUGUUCAAAAGGCAGAGCCGCUGACGCCGCUGCAGCGCCUCGCCGCCCCCACCUUGACCGCACCCGCUCGCCCCGCGCCAAUCCUCCCGUGCUCGCGGUUCGAUUUCCACCACACGAUCCACCGCCUCCACCACCCUUUGCAUCCUCGCCGUAGCUCGUUCUCGCGGCGCCCAUGAACACCAGCCGAGCGCCGAGAAAACCGCGGCCACCUCGAACCGACCUUGCCGCUCCCACUCCGUCUCUAUAAAACCCACCCCCCGUGCUUCCUCCCUCCCUUGCUUCGUCCCCCCCCCAAUCGGCGGAGCCCUGCCGCCAUGGGAACUCCUCGCCGUCGCGUCGAGCUCUAUGUCCGGCGACAUCUCGCCGUCGCACGGUCCGUCCUCUGCCGCCUCCUCCCUCAACCUCGGUCGCCGUCGCGCGGCCAACCCCGGAGCGUCGCCGCCUUCUUGGUCGCCGCGGCCAAGAAUGCCACCGCCGCGACCAAGGGCGCCACCGCACGCCUCCGUUCCCUUCCCCGGCACGCCCGCCGUGACGCGAUGCCGCCUCGGCGUCGCGUUCGUCGCCGUGCGCCGCUGCUCGUCCAUGCGCCGCCAUCGGCCUUCCCAUCCUCAACUCGCCGCCGACGCCAUCACCUCCCGUCGGUGAGCUCCCCACCUCCCUUUUCCGCUGUCCCAGCACUCGCGUAGCUCGCGUCGCGCGUGCUCUGUUUCCGCCGCCGUGCGCAAUCGAGAGCCGCCGUUGGCCUCCCUCUCGGCGACUCCUCUAGCCACCGCCGUUCUUGAGUUCCCUCGCUACCUCCCCAAGCCGCUGUUUCAGCCGCCGGCCUCCCCUCUCGCCCUCGCGUCGCGUCGCCCGAUCCGCCGCUGCCGCGCUCGGCCACUUCCGCUGCGCCUCCCCUGCCGUCGGCCUCCCUCCUAUCCUUGAUUCCCGGCGCUGCCACCUUCCUCGGGCCCCCCUCGACCUCCCCAACCCCUCCCCCUGGCCGCCGACCUUCCUCCUCGCUCCCGCGCCGUGCCGCCCCUCCCGCCGCCGCAAGGCGCCGCCGCGAGCCACAGCCCGGCGACCGUCGGGUCCCGCGUCACCGCAUGUGCGCCGCAACCCCAUACCGCGUCCACUAAACCCGAGCGCGCGAGCCGCAUCCCUUCCCAUCGCGCAUCCACGUCGGCAUCCCGGCGAGCUUCGCCGCCGCCGCCGGCCGUCGUCACGCGUCGUCUCCCCAAUCCGAGCCGUGGAAUCGGUUCGCCUUGACCUCCUCUAGCCACCGGUGUUCGUCGCUCGCUUCGGCUCGCCGCCGUUCGCCGGAUUCCGCCGCGCGCCGUGAGCCGUCCGAUGCCAUUCCCGCCCCCCUUUUUCUCUCCCCAUCCGACGUGGCUGCCCACGUGGCAUUGACCGGGCCCGCCCCUGCCCAGUCAGCCGGUCAGUCGUCCCCCUCCCCCUCUCUCCCCUGGCUCGUGGGCUUGGCCCAUUGGCCAGCCUUCCUCCUCGGCCUAACAAAACAAAGGAAGUUUACCUUUACUCCCUCUUCCGAGUCCGGUGCUCACACACCGAAGAGCUAAAAGUCCGCAAUUGCUCCCUCCAAUUGCUCCUCUCUCUCUCUCACCUUCUUAUUGGCCCCACUCGUCAAUGAGUCAAAGAUAAUCUUGAGAAUGUCUUUCCAAUAUUCCACAAAUAAUUCUCUCUUCUAUAAAUUCAGUAAAUCAUUUUAUCUUAUUUCGUGGGUUAAUAAAUCUUUUUCCCUUGAUCCUAUAAAACAAUUCUCUAUUCCAAAAUUUCAUGAAUCAUUUUCCUUAUAAAUCAUUUCCUUUGGUCCCGCACGUCAGAGACGGUCAAUAAUAUUCUUGAGAAUAUUAUUUCUAUAAAUUUCAUGAAUCAAUCCCCCCUUGUUCCACAAAUAUCUUCCUUCGCCAGAAAUUCUAAUUAAACUUCCAAAAUUCGUAUCUCUCGAUCCAAUCGUCCGAUUGACCCCGUUCCACUUCCAGUAUUUCCAUAAAAUUGAGAUCUAUUUAAUGGCACUAUUAUUUAGUCUAAAUAGGGUCUUUUUCUUGGUCUCUUGUUUAGGUUUUUGUUUGUUUGAGCAUAGUUGCGGUUACCGGAUUUUCGUCGAUCGUGGAUAUCUUGAAGAUUCGUGAAGCUUCGUGAAGACCCUGAGCAAGGCAAGCCACCCUUGAACAUACUGAGCCUAUAUUUGAACUUAAUUAUAUUGCUUGCAAAAUAUUAUGCAUUGAUAGGAUUACACUUAAUUUGUUUGCCCCGUCUGAAAGGCAGACCGGUGGGCCUACCCAACUUGUUGCAUCUGAUCCUUCCAUUGUUAAUUGUUAUAUCAUGUUCCCUUGUAACCAUCUAGUUGCGCCUCGAUAUUCGUGCACUCUGUGCGAGUAUCAACGGUCGCCUUCAAACUUAAAAUCUGAGUAACUUCUUGGGUAAAACUUGGUUUGCAAAAGCUUUGGAAAACCCGACGCCUGGGUCGGUGCCUUGUGAAAGAAAAUGAGUUUUAAAAAUAAAACUCGCGACACAAGGCCAUUCCUGGGCGGAAUACUUGUGCGGUCGCAUCUAAGGACCGAUUCCUUUGGAAUUACAUCGGAGCAUACAAUAGUGCGACCACACGGGUGGAAUGGGACGCCCCUGGCUGAGUAAAUUGCUAAUCGGGGGAGCCUUGAUGCCGAGAGACAUGUGGAUUCGCCGGGGUGGUGUCGGGGAGGACCCCUGGGCUUCCUGGCACAGUAUGGUCUGGGACCUAACCUGUUGUUGGUCUGGGACCCCUCUCGUCGGCAUAUGGUAAACCUGUGUCGGCUUUCGAAAUGCCUUGUCAUGAAAGCCCUUAGGUCACCAGACGUGGCCAUUCUACACGGGCUGGGUGAUUCGGGUUAGUAAUGUCGUGUGGGUAAAGUGUACCCCCUCUGCAGAGGUUAACAAACUGUUCGAACAGCCGUGCCCACGGUCACGGGCGGAUGUGAGGUGAUUCCUUAGCGUAGUUUUUGUUUUACCCUGUUUUAUGAAAAGGUGUUAAGGUUUGGGAAACCUAAUGCUUGGGAAGCAUUUAGCUGUCCGGGGGACAGCGGGACCGGGUGUCCCUGGAAGUGAUUGGUCGUUUGGGGACCACUAUUAUCGGGAAGUUUGGAAAAUUGGUUUGGUUUGGGAAAAACCAGAUUUGAAGCCAACUCUGGGAGUUGUGCAAAUCUUGAUAAAUAAAUUUGUUCUUCUCACCUCCCGACCAAGCUGAGACUUGUCUCGCUCUGGUUGUGGAAAGCACACACUUAGAUUGUUGAAAACUUGAAAACAAAACUGUUUGCAAAAUAACAGCCUUCCCUUGAAGCCUGCAUUAACCACCUAAGUUCCCCUGGCUUGCUGAGUACGUAAGUACUCACCCUUGCUCUAUAUAAAUAUAUAUAUAGUUCCUCCGUCUUGAAGAAAAGAUGAAGUGAAGCGAAGAUUAGGGUUUCGUCCUGGAUCCCAGCCGUCGCCUGUGGUGUUGGGUGUUAGACCGUUGGUUCCGCUGCAGCUGCUGUUGUUGGUGUUCGCCUCGUCCGUGUCGUCGGUUGCAUUCUCGGGCUGUCUGAGCUGCAACCUAAGUUAAGGUAAAUAAGUCCUCUAUUUAUUCUAAGGAUUUGCAAUGAUUCAUAUUUGUCACCGUGGGUACCAGCACUAUGUCCUGGGACUGGUACCGAGUUCGCGGUUUCGUAGGAAGCGGUUCGCGCCGUUUUUCCUACGACACGCUCCUAUCAGGUGCCGUUGUGCGGCGGUGCCGGAUUGGGGUGUGACAGAGAUGGUAUCAGAGCAUUAGUUGGCCCUAGGAUCGAAACCCCUUAUUAGGAUGGCAUUAUUUGAGUACCAAAAAAAAAAAAACUAUUUGUGAAAGCUAAGGUGUCGUUGUCCCCUUUAGCUCUAGUUUUGCGAAAAAUCUUUUCGUGUCCAAAAGUAGAAGCUAGUCGAGUGUUUUGACCUUUAUCCUAGAGUAAACCUGUCUUCACGCCCAGUUGAAGAAAGGUGAGCUCAAGCCUCUAGGAGUCUUAGUUAAGCCCUCGUUGGUAGGCAGACCCUAGUACCGUCACCCGCUCGGUGGGAGUUGUGGUGAACUAGUGCGUGCGUGAGUUUUGUUUGGUAGUCCGUGUUCAGGUGUUAGACCAGUUGGGAUACCGACUGGAAUACACCACCUAUGUCUUCUGUGAUUUCGAAAACCGUUUUGAUGUAGUGUUUUUGUUUUCCUUCUUUUCUUAUCCCAUUUCUGGUUCAGUCAGAUCUCAGUCGCUCUGAAGCCAAUGGCACAUUGUUCUAUCCGUCAGAUCCGUGCCCCUAACCGCCCUGGUUCUAAAGAAGGGUCAGCUCAGUCAGAAAUUCCCGAUCAGCCAAUUAGCCUAGCAGAUGAGCAACAGAUUGAGAAGUGAUCAUGCAGUUGUUUCUGGAUCAACUAAUGAUGCCGCAGUACAGAAAUCAGCCCCCCAACAGUGGACUUUUGCCCACUCAUGGCCAUGCAAACCCAGAUAUUACAAGGAAUGAUUCAGAAUAUAGUUGUUAUGCAACGACAACACACGCAAGAGCAUCAACCCCAUAUGGUUCAAGAUAAUUGUCGGUCAAGACUGAACGAAUUCUUAAGAUCUCGCCCACCGGGGUUCUCCCAAACAACUGAGACCAUUGAAGCCAAUGACUGGAUCAAAGAUGUGGAAAGGAAAUUAAAUUUGGUGCAGUGCACUCCGUAGAAGAAAACCCUUUUAUGCCGUACAUCAGUUAAGAAGACAUACCACAAAUUGGUGGUAUAACUACUGUGCUACCCAUACAGAUGCUAGUACCAUCAUCUGGACAGAGUUUGCAGAAGCCUUUCGCUUAGCACACAUCCCUGAAAGCAUAAUUGAUUUGAAGAAGGAAGAAUUUGCAAAUAUCAAGCAAGGAUCCUCUUGCAUCAACGAGUAUUUGAGUCGCUUCAACGGAUUGGCUCGAUAUGCCCCGGAAGAUGUGGACACUGAUAAGAAGAAGAUCAAAAGGUUUCUAAAAGGAACGGAAGCGAAAUUGCGAGUGAAACCUUUAGCUCACGACUUUCCAACGUUUCAGCACAUGGUCAAUAAAGCCUUGUUACUAGAAGAUGCAGAAAAAGAAAUGCAGGACUACAAGAAGCACAAGGUAAUGUCCUUAGAGGAUCAAGCAAGAGAAGGUUUGCGUCAAGAGAUAGACCCGCCAGUGCAGUACUAUCAGGGAGAAUCUCAGUAUUCCAAUGGUUCUGAUUCUACGUCUCGUUCGACAAAGUCAAAAUCUAGUCAGCAAACCAUAGUGAUCAACAAUAAAAGCCUUGAAGGAAGCAAUUCCGUACCAUGCCCUCCACCUUGAAAAAGACGUGGUUAUAAGGCAUGAGUCGAAUGUUUCAUCUGCCAUGAGAUGAGACACUAUUCAUGGUACUGUGUCACGCCCUGAAGUUCCCCUCCCUUGCUCUAAAUUCAUAAAAUAAAUCGUCCGAAGAAAUUGUUUAAUUUAACCUAGAGAGAAACCCUAAAGUAAUAAAUGCAAAUAAUAAUCGGAAUCGGCAUGUGGAAUUUUUCUUGGAUUCUACAUGUCAAAAUAUGCUAACAGGAUUUUUAGUGGAAUUUUCAGAGCCCUAGAAAUAAUUUUAACCAAUUAAAAAUCACCAAAGUGCAAUUUUAAUUCCAGGAAAAAAAAUCCUUUUUCUUUUUCUUUUUCUUUUUUUUCUCUUUUUCCUCCUUUCUUUCGGAUGGGCCGCCGGCCCAUCUCCUCCUUUCCUCCCCCUCCUCCCUGCUGGGCCGGCCGCAGGCCGAGGCCCAGCCGGCCGCCCGCCUCCCUCCCUCCCGGGGUCGCCGACAGGUGGGGCCCACCUGUCGGACCCGUCUCCCACCUCCCGCCUCUCCCGCUCGCGCCGUCCCGCCGAAACCGCUGCCGCCGCACCCACUUCCUCCGCUUUCCCCGCGCCCACGCCACGUCGCCGCGCCCACGCCACGUCGCCGCCCUCUCCCCGCGUCUCCCGGCCGCGCCAGCGCACGAGAGGGGCGGGAUUCGAUUUUGAAUCUCCCCCCACCUUCUCUCUCUCCUCCCCCACGUCGCCGGCGAAAUCGGAGCGCCUCCCGGCCACGUCCGCCUAUAAAAUGCUCCCCAUGCCCUCCUCUCUCGUUUUCCGCUCUCACCGCUCCAUCCCGUGCCCCCUACCGAGCUCGCACCGCCGCCACUUACGCCGCCGCCCGUCGCCGCACUCCGGCCGUGUGCCGCCGUCGCUAGAGCCGCCGCCGCACUAAGCCACCGCCACCACUAGCUUCGCCGCCGCAAGACCCUUCCCGGCCGCUGCUCUGCGUCGCCGGAAUACCACCGAAACCCCAUUUCCCUCGCGUCGUCGGUGAGUUCUCUCUCCCCUCCGACUCCGGCCGGCGUGGAUGGUCGCCGUGGGGGUUUUCCUCCGCCCUAAUUCCUCUCCUCUCUUUCCCUAGGUGUCGCCGUCGCUCGUCCGCACCUCGGCAUCACCGGUCUUCGCCGCCUCCCUCGUUUUUCUCCGCCGGCCAUUGCCGCCCCUCCGGUGAGGUCUCCCUCCCCUUCCUUUCCUUCUUUUUUUUUUCCCCGUGCGCCGCCGCCCUCUUCGCGCGCUCGCCGUCGCUUUCGGUCGUCGCCGCUCGCGCCGCCGCCCGCCGCCCGCGCCGCCGCUCGCCGUCGCUGGCGGUCGCAUGCCCGCGCCGCCGCCUUGCCAUGGCCGCCCGGCCGGCUUGAUGCCGGGCCUGGCCGGUACAUCGGCUCGUGGAGCCGGAGCCGUGGGGCCCGCUUGCCAGCCGUGCCCCCCCCCUUGAGCCGCUGCCGAGUGGGCCCGUGUACCAGCGCCCUUCCCCUCUCUCUCCCCGUGCCGCUGACCGGUGGGCCCCGCUUGUCGGCGCCGCGCCACCCCGUGCUGACGUCAGCCCUGGAAUAUAUUGCGCAAUAAUUAAUUAAGGACUUUUUCUUUAUUAGUAAAAACACAGUGAAUCUUCUAAAAUUCAUAACUAAUUCAUCCGAGCUCCGAUUAAGUCCAUUCAAGUCUCAGUAAAUUCAUAAAAAUGUGUAGAAUCCAUUAAAAAUGGCUUUGUUAUCUGUUUCAGUAGUCUUAUAGCAUGUUUUGCUUGUGUGCUUUGUUUGUCGCGUAGAUUUCGGCCGUUUCGUCGAUCCGUGGUUUCUCGAAGACGUUGCUGUGGUUCCAUCAGUGCGAGAGCAAGGCAAGUCAUGCAAUACAAUUGAUCAUAUUGUACCUAAUUUACAAAUGUCCCGCAUUUCUAUUAAAUAUUGCAUUGUUUUACAAUAUCAUGUGGGAUGGGUCCUAUUACUCAGCUAUAUGUUGUUUUCCUUAUGCCAUUGAUAACUUGGGUAUUAAAAUGACUAGAUGUUGGUUUAGGAGAUGCUUAGCCAUGCUUAGUUCAACUAGUGCAUAAAAGGGGACCACAUUAAAGCAUAGACUUGAUUAUUGGCAAUAGCUCUGGAUUAGUGCCACCGCAAUGGUGUUGGCUAAUUAAAAUACACUACAUGGUGGGCUGUGGGUGCAUGGUUUUGCUAGACGUGCCCAUGGCGAUUAAGGACCGGUUCGCGGGAUGCCCUGGAAGAAUUUAUCGUACUUACCACAAGCCAGCGUGGGCAACGGCUGGGCUUGUAGUGUAGCUUUUCUCUAGCCGACGUACCCAGGCGAGGGUGGGCGUGAUGGAGUUGGGUCGGCCGGGGUGUCCGGUUGAUCGGCUGCCGGAUUCACCGCGGCACGAAAGGGGGGCUGCCCGUUGCCUGCUGGGGACGGGGGCGAACCCUAAGGUGUGGUGCGAUCGGUUAGAGGGGGUUAUACGAAGGGUCCUGUCACGGCCUCUUUCCGGUAUGUCGUGGUGGCAUGUCGGCGCACGGGAACGUGUCGUGGGGCUGUGUCUUGUGGGUACAGCUGUACACCUCUGAUCAGAGUAAAACUAUUCGAAUAGCCGUGCCCGCGGUUAUGGGCGGUCGACCAGAUUCACCGUGAUUAGUUUCACCCUAGUUAGCUUUUGGAACUGGUUAGUUCAGGUGGUGGUUUGGGCCUGUGGCAACGUGGUGUAACGUUGGACAGUGAUUGGUUAAUAUGGAUUAAUUACUACAACUGUUUUACUGCUUUCAACUACUGCUUUGAAAUGCCGGCUUUAUGCAAAAGAACCUUUAGCCUCCCUUGGAUAUAUCGUGCAUCAUACCUCCUCUUCCGGUAUGACUUGCUGAGUACAGUGGGUAGUACUCAGUCUUGCUCUCUUUUCCCCCACAUCAGAGUUGAAGUCCUUCUCAGUUGAAGAUGUCUCGGAGAGGUUGGUUUCGUCGCUGCCGUCAAGGUUUGCCUGUGGAAUGGAGUCGCCCGCUGCAGGAGUCAAGUCUUCAGGCUUAGCUCGCUUUUAUCUUUUUCCGCUGCAUUUGUAAUCUUUUAUAUUUUUGUAAGACGUGGAUCUGUAUGUCAACAAUUGUCGUUUGUGUACCCUGGCUGGUCCUGGACAGGGGUUUAAUGCACAUUCAGCUUAGAAAUUCUGGUUCGUGAAUUUCUGGGCGUGACAUACUGCCCUCAGAAAGUCAAGUCAAAGCAAGUUCAACCAACAACAAGCCUUCCCAACGUAUCUGGACCAAAAAGUUCAAAGCCACCAAACAGUGGUUCUGCCUCGUUGACCUCACCGCCUAUUGGACAAAGUCGUCUGAACCAUGUGCAAGUAGAAACAAAGGGAAAAGUUUUGAAUCUCGAGCAAGUUGAAAGAGCAGGUGAAGAACAGAUUCCACAUGCAAGAUCAGAGCCACAGUAAAAGGGAGACUGCUAAGUGAGUCAGAGUACCAGACCGUUUUGUGGCAAGUAUGCAGUCUCGAGAUAAAGAAAGACCCGCAGAGUAUGAAGCUAAGACGAAGUUUGAAGUUCCCCUUUUGGUUUCAUGUGUGUGGUCCACCUUCGAAUCUCGGGGUCGAGAUUCUUGUAAGGGGGGUGGAUCUGUAACGCUCCGCUUUUCGUGAGACGUUAAAAACUAAUUCGGCAAAAAUCCUAAUUGCGAAAAUUUCGUUCCUUGAGUGUUGAGUCUGAGUUGUGCCAAAGAUCUCAAUUUAAAUCCCUCCCUUGUCUCGAUACCCUGUUAUCAAAGAUCGUCUCCUCAAAAUUACCAUCCCAAUGUAGUCCCGAAGCUCGAUUCCUUCUAUUCGGAAUCCCCUCCUGGAACCCCAUCCGUGAACUUUGUCGAAUGUCCGAACCCUUCUAUUCAGACUUCUCUCCAAAAUCCUUACCCACAUAUCUCGUUGAAUAGUCAAACUCAAACUCCCAAGUUACACUCUCUUUCUCUAAAUUAUCCAUCCCCUUUUGACUCGUCUCCGAAUAUUGUUCCCUUCCUUGACUCCUUCCUAUUCUCCCGAGACCGAGUAUCAACCUCGAAAUUCGAAUCUAGACUCCAACUCUAAAAUCUCCCAAUUAAAUCUCUCUGUGAAAGUCUAUUUAACCUCCCUCAUAGGUUGGAUUCCUUCUUUCUUUUUCCGAUCCACCUCUUCCUUCUCUUCCAUCCCAUCUCUCUCGGAGUCUCGAUCUAUCUAUCUAUCGAUCGAUCCAUCUAUCUAUCUACUAUACCUAUCUAUCUGUUUAUCUAUCCAUCUGUCAAUCCAUCUGUCUAUCCGUCCCUCUACCUAUCAACCUACCUUUCUGUCUAUCUAUCUAUCUAUCCAUGGCAUUCUACCGCUAUCUCCCUUGUUCCAUUUUUGAAUAAUGAUCUUCCCUUUUUGAAAUCCUCUGAAAUAAUCCUUCGUGCCGCCAAAUAUAAAUCCAUCCCAAGAAUACCAAAAUUCCCGCUUUUGAAGCCCUUCCUUGACCCCUCCCUUGGAUCCACCUUGAACCCUCGUGUACAAAUACACAAAUUAAAUUCAAAUUCAAUCUCCACAUCAAACUUCUCUCCAAAUCAAACCUUCCAGUAAAAGUCUAUUUUGCCUCCCUCCAACUCGCUCGGGCCGAAACCAUCCUCGGCCCAUCCUCUUCUUUCGCCAGCCUCUCCAUCGCACGUGCGCCGCACGUGACUCCCUCAGAGAGCGCCCCCUCUCUCUCUCUCUCUCUCUCUCUCUCGGCGUCGCUUCCCGCCGACGCCGCCCAAAAUUCCGGCUGCCUCCUUCGAUUCCCGCGCACCCGUGCGAGUGGCCGACCGCCUGGGUGCCGCCAUCGCCACCCUCGGUCGUCGCCUGCCCCGAUGACCACCGUGUCCGCGCUUGCCUUCAAACCGUCCCCGUCCUUUUGCAGUCGUCGCCGGCGUCAUCCUCCCGGGCCCGGCGCCCCAUGCCGCAUGCAUCCAAAACCGUGAGGCGCGGCUCGCUCUCAUCCCUUUCCUCCCAAACCGGAAGGAGCAAAGCUCCCUUUCCUCCUCCUCCUCCUUUCGCUUUUUCCCCUCCCGGGUAGCGAGCUCCCUGCCUCCACUCCUUGGCUUCUUGUUCAAAAGGCAGAGCCGCUGACGCCGCUGCAGCGCCUCGCCGCCCCCACCUUGACCGCACCCGCUCGCCCCGCGCCAAUCCUCCCGUGCUCGCGGUUCGAUUUCCACCACACGAUCCACCGCCUCCACCACCCUUUGCAUCCUCGCCGUAGCUCGUUCUCGCGGCGCCCAUGAACACCAGCCGAGCGCCGAGAAAACCGCGGCCACCUCGAACCGACCUUGCCGCUCCUACUCCGUCUCUAUAAAACCCACCCCCCGUGCUUCCUCCCUCCCUUGCUUCGUUCCCCCCCCCCAAUCGGCGGAGCCCUGCCGCCAUGGGAACUCCUCGCCGUCGCGUCGAGCUCUAUGUCCGGCGACAUCUCGCCGUCGCACGGUCCGUCCUCUGCCGCCUCCUCCCUCAACCUCGGUCGCCGUCGCGCGGCCAACCCCGGAGCGUCGCCGCCUUCUUGGUCGCCGCGGCCAAGAAUGCCACCGCCGCGACCAAGGGCGCCACCGCACGCCUCCGUUCCCUUCCCCGGCACGCCCGCCGUGACGCGAUGCCGCCUCGGCGUCGCGUUCGUCGCCGUGCGCCGCUGCUCGUCCAUGCGCCGCCAUCGGCCUUCCCAUCCUCAACUCGCCGCCGACGCCAUCACCUCCCGUCGGUGAGCUCCCCACCUCCCUUUUCCGCUGUCCCAGCAAUCGCGUAGCUCGCGUCGCGCGUGCUCUGUUUCCGCCGCCGUGCGCAAUCGAGAGCCGCCGUUGGCCUCCCUCUCGGCGACUCCUCUAGCCACCGCCGUUCUUGAGUUCCCUCGCUACCUCCCCAAGCCGCUGUUUCAGCCGCCGGCCUCCCCUCUCGCCCUCGCGUCGCGUCGCCCGAUCCGCCGCUGCCGCGCUCGGCCACUUCCGCUGCGCCUCCCCUGCCGUCGGCCUCCCUCCUAUCCUUGAUUCCCGGCGCUGCCACCUUCCUCGGGCCCCCCUCGACCUCCCCAACCCCUCCCCCUGGCCGCCGACCUUCCUCCUCGCUCCCGCGCCGUGCCGCCCCUCCCGCCGCCGCAAGGCGCCGCCGCGAGCCACAGCCCGGCGACCGUCGGGUCCCGCGUCACCGCAUGUGCGCCGCAACCCCAUACCGCGUCCACUAAACCCGAGCGCGCGAGCCGCAUCCCUUCCCAUCGCGCAUCCACGUCGGCAUCCCGGCGAGCUUCGCCGCCGCCGCCGGCCGUCGUCACGCGUCGUCUCCCCAAUCCGAGCCGUGGAAUCGGUUCGCCUUGACCUCCUCUAGCCACCGGUGUUCGUCGCUCGCUUCGGCUCGCCGCCGUUCGCCGGAUUCCGCCGCGCGCCGUGAGCCGUCCGAUGCCAUUCCCGCCCCCCUUUUUCUCUCCCCAUCCGACGUGGCUGCCCACGUGGCAUUGACCGGGCCCGCCCCUGCCCAGUCAGCCGGUCAGUCGUCCCCCUCCCCCUCUCUCCCCUGGCUCGUGGGCUUGGCCCAUUGGCCAGCCUUCCUCCUCGGCCUAACAAAACAAAGGAAGUUUACCUUUACUCCCUCUUCCGAGUCCGGUGCUCACACACCGAAGAGCUAAAAGUCCGCAAUUGCUCCCUCCAAUUGCUCCUCUCUCUCUCUCACCUUCUUAUUGGCCCCACUCGUCAAUGAGUCAAAGAUAAUCUUGAGAAUGUCUUUCCAAUAUUCCACAAAUAAUUCUCUCUUCUAUAAAUUCAGUAAAUCAUUUUAUCUUAUUUCGUGGGUUAAUAAAUCUUUUUCCCUUGAUCCUAUAAAACAAUUCUCUAUUCCAAAAUUUCAUGAAUCAUUUUCCUUAUAAAUCAUUUCCUUUGGUCCCGCACGUCAGAGACGGUCAAUAAUAUUCUUGAGAAUAUUAUUUCUAUAAAUUUCAUGAAUCAAUCCCCCCUUGUUCCACAAAUAUCUUCCUUCGCCAGAAAUUCUAAUUAAACUUCCAAAAUUCGUAUCUCUCGAUCCAAUCGUCCGAUUGACCCCGUUCCACUUCCAGUAUUUCCAUAAAAUUGAGAUCUAUUUAAUGGCACUAUUAUUUAGUCUAAAUAGGGUCUUUUUCUUGGUCUCUUGUUUAGGUUUUUGUUUGUUUGAGCAUAGUUGCGGUUACCGGAUUUUCGUCGAUCGUGGAUAUCUUGAAGAUUCGUGAAGCUUCGUGAAGACCCUGAGCAAGGCAAGCCACCCUUGAACAUACUGAGCCUAUAUUUGAACUUAAUUAUAUUGCUUGCAAAAUAUUAUGCAUUGAUAGGAUUACACUUAAUUUGUUUGCCCCGUCUGAAAGGCAGACCGGUGGGCCUACCCAACUUGUUGCAUCUGAUCCUUCCAUUGUUAAUUGUUAUAUCAUGUUCCCUUGUAACCAUCUAGUUGCGCCUCGAUAUUCGUGCACUCUGUGCGAGUAUCAACGGUCGCCUUCAAACUUAAAAUCUGAGUAACUUCUUGGGUAAAACUUGGUUUGCAAAAGCUUUGGAAAACCCGACGCCUGGGUCGGUGCCUUGUGAAAGAAAAUGAGUUUUAAAAAUAAAACUCGCGACACAAGGCCAUUCCUGGGCGGAAUACUUGUGCGGUCGCAUCUAAGGACCGAUUCCUUUGGAAUUACAUCCGAGCAUACAAUAGUGCGACCACACGGGUGGAAUGGGACGCCCCUGGCUGAGUAAAUUGCUAAUCGGGGGAGCCUUGAUGCCGAGAGACAUGUGGAUUCGCCGGGGUGGUGUCGGGGAGGACCCCUGGGCUUCCUGGCACAGUAUGGUCUGGGACCUAACCUGUUGUUGGUCUGGGACCCCUCUCGUCGGCAUAUGGUAAACCUGUGUCGGCUUUCGAAAUGCCUUGUCAUGAAAGCCCUUAGGUCACCAGACGUGGCCAUUCUACACGGGCUGGGUGAUUCGGGUUAGUAAUGUCGUGUGGGUAAAGUGUACCCCCUCUGCAGAGGUUAACAAACUGUUCGAACAGCCGUGCCCACGGUCACGGGCGGAUGUGAGGUGAUUCCUUAGCGUAGUUUUUGUUUUACCCUGUUUUAUGAAAAGGUGUUAAGGUUUGGGAAACCUAAUGCUUGGGAAGCAUUUAGCUGUCCGGGGGACAGCGGGACCGGGUGUCCCUGGAAGUGAUUGGUCGUUUGGGGACCACUAUUAUCGGGAAGUUUGGAAAAUUGGUUUGGUUUGGGAAAAACCAGAUUUGAAGCCAACUCUGGGAGUUGUGCAAAUCUUGAUAAAUAAAUUUGUUCUUCUCACCUCCCGACCAAGCUGAGACUUGUCUCGCUCUGGUUGUGGAAAGCACACACUUAGAUUGUUGAAAACUUGAAAACAAAACUGUUUGCAAAAUAACAGCCUUCCCUUGAAGCCUGCAUUAACCACCUAAGUUCCCCUGGCUUGCUGAGUACGUAAGUACUCACCCUUGCUCUAUAUAAAUAUAUAUAUAGUUCCUCCGUCUUGAAGAAAAGAUGAAGUGAAGCGAAGAUUAGAGUUUCGUCCUGGAUCCCAGCCGUCGCCUGUGGUGUUGGGUGUUAGACCGUUGGUUCCGCUGCAGCUGCUGUUGUUGGUGUUCGCCUCGUCCGUGUCGUCGGUUGCAUUCUCGGGCUGUCUGAGCUGCAACCUAAGUUAAGGUAAAUAAGUCCUCUAUUUAUUCUAAGGAUUUGCAAUGAUUCAUAUUUGUCACCGUGGGUACCAGCACUAUGUCCUGGGACUGGUACCGAGUUCGCGGUUUCGUAGGAAGCGGUUCGCGCCGUUUUUCCUACGACACGCUCCUAUCAGGUGCCGUUGUGCGGCGGUGCCGGAUUGGGGUGUGACAGAGAUGGUGUAACAUCCCGGCCUAGGGCUUAAUAGGAUUAAUAGAAUACUCAUAUCAACAAGUUGCAACUUCUUUUCCGGAAGCCAAUCUCCAAAGAACUCCAGGGUUAAGCGUGCUUGGCCUGGAGCAAUUUGGGAUGGGUGACCGACCGGGAAAUUCUUCCCGGGUGCACAUGAGUGAGGACAAAGUGUGCAGAAAAGAUAUGUGUUGGUCUGUGAGGGCAGUCUAUGACCUAUGAAAGCUAUCAAAUGUAAGUGGGCCCGGCGAAAGCUAUCAAAUGUAAGUGGGCCCGGCCUGGGGGAAGGCGGGACGUUACAAAAUGGUAUCAGAGCCGACUCUCGCGGUUUCACGGGCGCGUGUGUCGCAGUUGCGCAGGCAUGGUGCGCAUGGCUGGUGUAGACCGGGAGUGGUUACACAGCAUGGCACAUGCGCUGGCACUGGACACAUGGACGUGGCCAAGAGAGGACGUUCCUGGCCUAGGGUUGAUCGACGGGGGCGUCGAUCUCUCUUAAGGGGGUGAGGGUGUAACAUCCCGGCCUAGGGCUUAAUAGGAUUAAUAGAAUACUCAUAUCAACAAGUUGCAACUUCUUUUCCGGAAGCCAAUCUCCAAAGAACUCCAGGGUUAAGCGUGCUUGGCCUGGAGCAAUUUGGGAUGGGUGACCGACCGGGAAAUUCUUCCCGGGUGCACAUGAGUGAGGACAAAGUGUGCAGAAAAGAUAUGUGUUGGUCUGUGAGGGCAGUCUAUGACCUAUGAAAGCUAUCAAAUAUAAGUGGGCCCGGCCUAGGGGAAGGCGGGACGGCCCGGCCUAGGGGAAGGCGGGACGUUACAUUGGGCGGGCAGUCUAUGACCUAUGAAAGCUAUCAAAUGUAAGUGGGCCCGGCCUGGGGGAGGGCGGGACGUUACAUUGGGCUGCUGUUCUUAGGAUCAGUAUGUUAAAGUCUAGGUUUUCGCCGGUUUUUCUUUAAUUAACCGUAUUGUUGUAAGGUUUUUAGAUCUGGUUUUCCUUAUAAACUAGAUCAACUCUCUUAUUCUAUGGUGAAUUGUACGAACUCCCUGCCUGUCCCCUCGAAAAAAAAACUUUAUCAUCUUAAUACUUCUAUAUGCUAUCUCAAUAUCUCAUAUGUGCUUAUAUAAAUAUGGUGUACGUAUAUGCGAGUGUUUUGCAGUUUUACUGUAUUUAUAUAUAGCAGGCAUCUAAUUCAUCAUAUAGUAUUAAAUUUCAAAAAUAUUAUGAGAACGCACGCGGCCGUACCAAUACCAUAUUAGCAUAUUAGAUGAGUCCACUAGCACUGUACUCCCUGUGCUGGUGGCCUUGCUAGUUGGUACUACGUUCCUGUCCUAAACUCAAUUAUCGGUGCCGUUGCCUUGUCCUGCUUGCAUUUGCAUGCAUGCUAAUUAAAGUGUUCGUUGCUGUUUCGUCGCAUGCACGUACAUGAUCAGGCUGUGUGGUGAAAUCAAACCAGAUUAGAGAGAGAUCACCGUGUCCGUCGUCAUCGGCGCGCGAUGCCGCCGAUGAGCAUGAGCUGGUGGUGGGCAGGCGCCAUCGGCGCCGCCAGGAAGCGCCACGACGGCGGCGGCGGCGAGCAGCAGCCGCCGUUCCGGAGCGUGGCGCUCGUGGUCGGCUCCACCGGCAUCGUCGGCACCUCCCUCGUCGACAUCCUCCCGCUCCCGGACACCCCCGGCGGGCCAUGGAAGGUGUACGCGCUGUCGCGCCGCCCGCCGCCGCCGUGGUCGCCGCCGCCGCCCGCCGCGGUGACGCACCUCUGCGUCGACCUCGCCGACGCCGCCGCCGUCGCCGAGGCGCUGGCGCCGCUAACCGACAUCACCCACGUCUUCUACGUCGCGUUGGCGGCUCCCCACCUCGCGGAGGCGCGGAGCCGCGAGGCGAACGCCGGCAUGCUCCGGAACGUGCUCGCCGCCGUCGUCCCGACCUGCCCGGCGCUCGCCCACGUCGCCCUCCAGACCGGGAGCAAGCACUACAUCGGCCCGCCGGAGUCCAUCGGCAAGCUCCCCGUCGAGACGCCCUUCUCCGAGGACAUGCCCCGCCACGACUACCCCAACUUCUACUACGACCAGGAGGACGUCCUCUUCGACGCGGUGACCUCCUCCUCCUCCUCCUCCUCCUCCCGCCGCGCCGCCGCCGUCACCUGGUCGGUGCACCGCCCGUCGCUCAUCUUCGGGUUCUCGCCGCGGAGCGCCAUGAACGUCGUGUGCAGCCUCUGCGUCUACGCCGCCAUCUGCCGCAAGGAGCGCCGAGAGCUGCGGUGGCCGGGCUCCCUCGGCGCGUGGGAAGGGUUCAGCAACGCGUCCGACGCCGACCUCGUCGCGGAGCAGCAGAUCUGGGCGGCCGUCGCCGACGCGGCGGCGAAGAACGAGGCGUUCAACUGCAGCAACGGCGACAUCUACAAGUGGAAGCAGCUGUGGCCGGUGCUCGCCGGGAAGUUCGGGGUGGAGUGGGCGGGGUACGAGGGGGAGGAGAGGAGGGUGGGGCUGACGGCGGCCAUGGCCGGGAAGGAGGCGGUGUGGGCGGAGAUCGUCGCGGAGGAGAAGCUGGUGGCGACGGAGCUCGGCGAGGUGGCCAACUGGUGGUUCGUCGACGCGCUGUUCAUGGACAAGUGGGAGUUCGUCGACACCAUGAACAAGAGCAAGGAGCACGGAUUCCUGGGGUUCCGGAACACGCUCAGGUCGUUCGAGGCGUGGAUCGACAAGAUGAAGCUUUACAGGAUUGUUCCUUGAUUAAUUUAUCUCAGGUUUCUCCUCAAUCUCUCGUGGAUUAAUAAUUAUACCAUUAGAUCCGUUAAAAUAUAAUAAUUUUUAGCUAUAAAUCUGAACAAAUAAAAUAUUUAUAUUUUAGGACGAAAGUACAUCGGUCUAAUACGGUGGCCUCGGGCAACCAAAGUAGUUUGUGGUGUUCUCUCUGGUCAUGCAUGGUCAAUGCUUCCAGGCUUCCAGCGUCAAAUCAUUUUGACCAAAAGGGGUUAAUGGUUUGUAAAACGUUUUGCUGUACAUUUGUCCAUUGAAUUUUCCUCGAAAAAUAUAUACUCCUUUUAAAAUAUUUCAAUGAUGAUGAUGAGUGGUGAAUCUGUUACCCUCCACUAUAGAUGGCCAAACGGGCGGCACGGCUCAGGCCCGGCCGUGCCUGGGCCGAGGUUAGUCGGGCUGGCACAGCUCCAGCCCAGGCAUGACCGUGCUCGGGUCAAAGAUUUAUUGGGCCGGCACGGUCUGACCAACAUACUGGGCCGUGUUGUGUUGACCCAUGUGUUGAAGCAUCGGUCCUGGCACGACCUAAUACAACUCGGGCCGUGUCGUGCCGGCCGGAAGGCACGAUAGCCCAUCGCGCUUCUUCAAAAAAAAGUCUAAUUUUCGUCCCUCAGUUCUUUAGGCCAUGUCUAAACGAUUAUGAUAAGUCUAUUUUGCAUCUCUUCACUCUUGGGCCGUGAAUUAUAUGGCUGCAUUAAGUAUAAUUUUAGUCCCUAAACUACUUUUCUUCCCUCCUCAUUGGAUUGGGCCGUGCCAGGCUGGCCCACCGUGCCAAGGCAUCGGUCCAGGCAGGGCCCAGCUAUCGGGUCAGGCCGGUCCGGACACGUCCCUAAUCGGGCCGUGUCUGGGUCGGGCCAAAUGGCCAGGCCAUUGGGCCUCGGGUGCUAUGGUCAUCUAUAUCUCUAGUCAUGAAUGGUCAAUGCUUCCAGCAUCAAAUAAUUUUGACCAAAGGGGUUAGUGCUUUGUAAAACGAUUUGCUGUACAUUUGUCGAAUGAAUUUCCCUCGAAAAAUCUAUACUCCUUUCAAAAGAUUUCGAUGAUGAUGAUGAUUUGUUAUCUCCCACUACCGCUUGGUGGCGGAUGAGCGGAUCCAUGGCCCGAUAAUCCUAGGCAGCUCUUUGGGCUUGCCGGCACGAUCACACCAUUAUAAUACCAUUAAUUUUCAGUGAUUAACAUGUAUAAUUGUUCACACUAUAUGUUUGUAGCAUAUAUAAAUUUAACCUUGUAUGUUUCUGAUGUGAUUUAACACAUACUACCUCCGUUUUUUAAUAGAUGACGCCGUUAACCUUUUCUCACAUGUUUGAUCAUUCAUUUUAUUCAAAGAAUUUACGUAAUUAUAAUUUAUUUUGUCAUGAGUUGUUUUAUCACUCAUAGUACUUUAAGUGUGAUUUAUAUCUUAUACAUUUGCAUAAAAUCUUUUGAAUAAGACGAAUGAUCAAACAUGUGAGUAAAAGUCAACGGCGUUAUCUAUUAAAAAAUAGAGGGGAGUAUUAAUCUAUCUCACUAUCUCGUUGAAUUCUAUCGUAAUUAUUUGGAUGAUAGGCAAACGUCGAGAGUUUGAAAUAGUUUUCCAUUAAUUUGUGUGGCAGCUCGCAAGAGAAGAAGAGAUAGUAAAACGCAACCGUACGUUCGGCCGCAUUCAAGCGACCGUACGUGUGGGCGACGAAGUCGGUCGCUCCUCCGUUUUCUUCUCUUCUCCGAAGUGUUUCGUGCGUGCACGUGACGUGUUUUCUGUGCCUUCCCACAAUAGUGUUCAAGCCUCCAUCUGAUUGCUCUGAAGUUUUGGGAGCCACACCAGGAUAGUGUGAACAUUUGAAUCAACGACACAUGUUUUUGUUUGUGCCGGCUCGAUCGCAGCCACAUCACGAAACAUAUCUACCCCCUCCGUAACAAAUUAAAUAAAUUUAUAAUAAAAUAGAACUUUUUAUAGUAUGAUAAAAGUUUUAGAUGUACAUUUGUUUAGAUCCGUUAUACUAGAAAAUAUCAUAUUCUAUUCAGGGUUGGUUUAUUUUUAUACGGAGGGAAUACUUAAACACGGUAUUGGUUUGACCGAUUGGAUGCGCAUGGUUAAUUAAGUAUUAACUAAUAUAAACUUGGAAAAAUGUUUUUUUAUAUUUGUAAACAACUUUUAUAUAUAAAGCUUUUCAAAAAAAAAUCAUGUCAUUAAGUGUCUUGGGAAAUAUGUCCAUAGUAAUCUAUUACAUCCGUUCUAAAAUAUAAGAAUUAAGGAUCAGAUAAUAUAUAUCAUAUUAUUACAAAUCUAGAUAUACUUCUUAUCCCAUCGGAUCAUAGGUUCUUAUAGUUUGGUAUGGAGGAAGUAUAUUAGCUAAUGAGUGAAAAAGAGCAUGGCCCUUAGACUGCACUACUGCAGUGGUGAUACGGAUCCAGCUCCUCUGACUUUGGGCUCGUACGUCAGAGGAGCCCAAUAUUUUGAGUCACAUACUACAAUAGAAAACAGUGUCUUGACUUAAUGCUAUAGCAACAGUGAAAUGCACUGUUUGAGGUUACUGUUUAGAUAUUACUAUGGCAUAGUGAUCGUUCACGUUCACUCGCGACGGCUGAAAAUAUCCAAGUUAGAGUACCGUACGCCUCUGACUUAAAACGCCGAGGAUCUCAUUCCGUGGUGAUACGUGGUGACAUAUUGAAAUCUGUGACCCUACCUCUUCCCACCAUAGCUUUUAUUGUUCUAUGAUAUAUAUCAAAUAUAAAUGUGUUGUCACGUAUACACAUGAUCAAAGUGAGCAAUCCUUCCAGCAAAGCAGGAAAUAACACAGCUGAGGCAAAACUAUAUUUUAUUUAUUUUUCCUCAUUAAAACGUACUAUGGUAUAUAUAUUUUGUAAGCAUGGGUAUUUAGUGAUUAUAGUAGUAGGUCGGUGCGCAGUUCAUCCGUAUCAGAGCAAUCCCAACCUCUUGGCGCAUUCGACGCUGCAGAUCAACGUCUCCUCCACCCCAUACUUGUACUUGAAACCUAAAUCCACAAGCUUAUUUGUAUCCGCUUGCACCCUCACGUCCUUGCCUACCACCCUAACAAAGAGACCACACAUAUAUAUGAUAUACAUUUAUAUAGCACAUCCUAUAUCUUCAUCCUAAAAUAUAAAAAAAAUUUAGCUAUAAAUAUAAACCAUACAUGUAUCCAGAUUUAUAGUUUAAAAUGCUUAUAUUUUAUAACGAAGCGAGUACAAUUUUAUCUAAAGAACGAAAAAUAACAAAUAAAUCACUGGUCAAAGACACGUACUCUUUGAGUUUUAUCGUGAUCUCUGGGUAUUUGGUGACGAAGUGAUCGACGUAAUCCUGCAUAUUGGGGUACCCAACGGCGCAGAGGAAGCGGCCGGCGAUGGACGGCUGCUCCGCGCAGAAGAUAUGCGCCUCGCAGAUGUCCUCGAUGUGUGCCAGUGGCACCGAACCUAUCAGGGCCUGCAAGAACUUGAGGGUGUUGUGGCAUGACUCGUCGCCGGUGAGCGGCGACACGAUCACCGGCACGCUGAGCGAGUGGUAGAGCUGGGUGGUGUCGGCGUCGCCGCCGACGAGCGCGCACGCCAGGGUGACCACCUCGAACGCCCUGCUCUCGGACUCGUUGUACCUUAGCAGCAGCUUCUCUGUGAGCGUCUUGGAUGAAGAAUAAUCCUAUAAAGCCAUUUGAAGUAUCAAAAAAAAAAACGUACUGCAUGUACCAUUGUUAAUUUGCUCUAUGGUAUCUAAUAAAUCACCAAUCAGAAGUCUGAGAAUUACUAACAUAUGUUGAAAUGCCAUUUUCACUCGGUUAAACGAAAGAAAUAUUCCUGACGAUGAUUGCGAAUUUGGGUGUACUGUUUAAUUGAUUGUACUAGUAUAAUGAUAUAUUAUGCUGUUGAAUUCUUUUAAUAUCUAUAUAGAUGAUAUAUAUACUCCUUCCAUCCUAAAAUAUACAUACUUUUAGAUCUAGUUUCUCAAUGCUAUAGAUAUGAAAUUAAAAGGGGUAGUUGGUAUUGAUUUAAUUAGAUGAGAAAGUUUGUAGAGAAAUCAAAUGAGGGAUUACUGUGAUUAGUUUAAACAUGAAAACAGACAGAGAAGCUAUAAUAUAUUUAAGAUAAAUUUUAAACUAUAUAAAUUUUAUAUUGAAGGAGAGAUAAAUUUUUAUAUUUGCUCAUUACUUUGUCAACAUGAAAUGCGUAGUUGAUUAAUUACAUACUUUCUCUGUUUCACAAUGUAAGUCAUUCUAGUAUUUUUCACAUUUAUAUUGAUGUAUAUAUGUCUAGAUUUAUUAACAUUAACAUAAAUAUGGGAAAUGCUAAAAUGGCUUACACUGUGAAACGGAGAUAGUACAUCCACCAUGGUGUUGUUGUAGCUGUGGGAGUGAUCGAGAGGAGUCCAGCAUGACUCGUUGAUGAAGUCCUUGUACCCCUCGCCGCCGUCCUCCCGGAGCGGCGACGCGGCGGUGACGGAGGCCGUGUGGAUGACGCGCCGCACCGUCUUUGACCGCUCGCAUUGCUGCAGGAUGAUGCGCAUCGCGUCCACCGCGGCUUCAGUGGUGUUCUUGUACUGCAAAACAAAACACAUGCGAAUCAACCUCUCAUCUUAAUUAUUGUCAUCUGGUAGUGUAAAGUUUAAUCUAAAACAGAGCACUCAAUAGUCCACUAUCCCUCUAUUCACAUUUACUAAAGCCAUCGAGACACUUGGUGCAGAGUCUGAAAGUCAUUAACUUUCAUUAUUACAAAAGUAAAUGAUCGAGAUUAUCAUUUUUAAGUAGCUGUGUAAUAUUUUUCUUCACCAGAAAGACCGAAAGACCGAAGGAGGCUAUCCGAAUAUAUUAAGAAGAAUAAAGUUACAACAAAAAAAUCCACGGAAGCAGUUGAGAUCGGAAGUACACCAAAGUGCACGACCAAGAACCACGUGCUAACCACACAAUCACAAACUAUUUAGAUCGAGGAACCUAGCACCAAAACGACCCUCCGCUAUGCGUGACCAAUCACCGUCGUGCCUACGACAACACCACCAAGACGAGACUCUGGAAACGAUACUCCCCCAUGGAAGGUCACGGCAUCAAAGACGUUGCUAUCUCGCCCAUGUAAAAAAGAUCCGGUAUGUGAUGAUUUCAUCUUUUCCACGAUAGCAUUCGAGGCUAGCAGCCGUGUGUACCUUGGUACUGCGAGGGUCGUGCUGCAGCGGGGUGGCGAGGAGGAAGACGAACUCGCAGCCGGCGAUGGCCGGCUCGAAGGUGUCGGCGUCGUACAUGUCCGCCUCGAACAGCACCAGCCGCUCCGCCGCGCCAGGGAGCUCUCUCAACGGCGCCGUCUUCUUCUCAUCUCCUAUCAAAUCACGUAGCCAUGAAAAUUUGUAUUACCUCCAUAUUUCAUAUUUUAAUGUAUGACGCCGUUGACUUUUUAUCUAACGUUCGACCAUUCGUCUUAUUCAAAAAAUUUAUGUAAUUAUGAUUUAUUUUAUUGUGACUUGAUUCAUCAUCAAAUGUUCUUUAAGCAUAACAUAAAUAUUUUUCAUAUUUGCACAAAAAUCUAUUAUAUUAUUAAAGGAAUAGAAAAAGGAGCCUCCACGUUCGCUCUCACGGCCUAGAAAUUCUCACAUUAAUCGGAGAAAAAGAAAAAACAGAGUCUAUAUAGAAAUACAAUUUAGAAAUAGCUGAAAUUCGGAAUCAAAAAAUAAGGAAUAUUAGAAGAGGAGACUAGAGUCCAUAUAAAAAUACAAUUUAUAAAUAACUGAAAUUCGGAAUUAAAAAAUAAGGAAUAUUAGAAGAUGAGACUAGAGUCCAUAUAGAAAUAUAAUUAGGAAAUAACUGAAAUUCGGAAUUAAAAAAUAAGGAAUAUUAGAAGUAGAGUAUAGAGUCCAUGUAGAAAUACAAUUAGGAAAUAACUAUAUAAUUAGAAAAUAACUGAAAUUCGGAAUUAAAAAUAAGAAAUAUUAGAAGUAGAGUAUAGUCCAUAUAGAAAUACAAUUAGGAAAUAAUUGAAAUUCAGAAUUAAAAAUAAGGAAUAUUAGAAGUAAAGUAUAGAGUCCAUAUAGAAAUACAAUUAAGAAAAAAAUAAAUUCGAAAUUAAAAAAAUAAGGAAUAUUAGAAGUAGAGUAUAGAGUCCAUAUAGGAAUUUAAAACUAACUAAAAUUUGGAAUAAACAUAAUGAAAUUAAAAGUAGAGUUUAGAGUCCGUAUAAAAAUACAAUUUACAAAUAACUAAAAUUCGAAAUUAAGAAAAAUAUGGGAAGAAGAGUUUAAAGUCAAUAUAGGAAUACAAUUUAGACGUAACUGAAAUUCGAAAUUAAAAAUUAAAGAAUAUUGAAAGAUGAGUUUAGAGUCCACAUAGAAAUACAAUUAGAAAUAAUAAAAAUUUAGAAAUAAAAAUAAAUAAUAUUGGAAGAAGAUCAUAGAGUCUAUAUAGAAAUACAAUUUACAGAAAAUUCGGAAUUAAAAUAAUAUAUUAAAAGACGAGUAUAGAGUCUAUAUAUGAAUAUAUAUAAUUUACAAAUAACUAAAAUUUGAUAUUAAAAAUAAUUAAUAACUAACAAGUAUAUAAAAUACAAUAUGAAUAUUACACAUUAGUAGUUUUGUAAAGUUAUUGCAAAAUUUAAAAUUAUGUUGUCAUUUUAAUAUAUUUAAAUAAUAUAAUGAGAAAAUAUAUAUACUAUUAUAUGAUAGAAAAUAUAAUGAUGCUAGCCGCGCAAUCUGCGCAGGCCACCAUGUUAGUUUAUUAUACUGUGAUAUAUUACAUCAUCCAAAAUCACUUAUAUUAUGUUGUACAUAUGUUCUUAAUGACAUAGAAAUCAAUGUUGAAAAAUAAAAUACCAUGAAAAACUUAAAAAUCAAUUUUAAAAUUCAAAAUAUGAUUGGAAUGACAAGAUGAAGAGCAAACGAUAAAAUAAGCCCUUAUCGCGCUCUUUUUAUGCGGAAUGGUUAAAUACAUGAAUAAUUUGAGAUAAUUGUUUGAAGAUUAAAAAAAACUUAAUGCAUUAACUAUUAUAAAAGUUGAAAGAAAAGAAUGUAAAACAUUUUUUUAAAGAAUUCAUAUAUAGUUUUUUUUAAAAAAUACCAUUUAGAAGUUCGAUAAAGAAUGUGUGUUUGUUGAUUAUUCCACUAGGAAAAAAAGGAGACAGUAAAUCAACACGUGAUUUCUUUUUUGUUAGCCAAAUGAUUUCUACGUUAUAGUAUUGCAAAGACUUCUAAAAGGGUUAAAAAAAGGCCUUUGCUAGUUUUGUAUAAAACGAAUGAACAAACGUUGUUCAAAAAGUCAACGGCGUCAUACAUUAAAAUACGGAGGGAGUAAAUUGUGUUGGUUUUAUGCUUGCAGAUGGCUACAAGAUUUUUGGAAAAUAUAGAGGUGAUCUAGCUAGAGAAUAGUAGAGAUCAUUGGGGAGAGUAUACCGAGAUUUCUCAAGGUCGCAUGCACGACGCAGCCUCGCUGCAGCAGCUUCUUGAUGAGGCACGUCGCGAUGUAGCCGCUGGCUCCUGUGACGCACACCCUGCUGCUGCUGCUGCUCGUCAUCGCUUCUGCUUCUCGUUCUGUUCCUUCAGAUCAGAUGCGUUUGGUUUCUAUGGCCCUCUCUCAACCUGUUUAAAUAAUGCAAAUAACGUACAAGACUGAACUUAGUGUCAGUGUCAGUUGUUUGGGAAACAAAAUCUACUUCGGCUGCGUUCUUUUCAGCAAAGUCCUCCUCGUUUUCCGUUAGCACGCUUUUCAAACUACUAAACGGUGCAUUUUUCUGUAAAAAGUUUCUAUACGAAAGUUACUUAAAAAAAUCAUAUUAGUCCAUUUUUUUUAAAAAGAAUAGCAGAUACUUAAUUAAUCAUGUGCUAAUGGAUCGCUCCGUUUUCCGUAAUCACUGUUCAUAAGAAGAAAGAACGCAGCC